AUAUUCAUUUCCAAUAACAGGUCUAAAAUGGAAAGUCUAAAUAUAUAUUACGAUUCGAGAAACAUGUGAACCUGAUCUAACCUUUAACUGAAUACUGCAAUGGGAAAUUGUGAAAGAACUUGUAGAUUCUGACUGCUACAUGCAAAAUUUAAUGGUCUGGCGGAAAAAUUAUUUCAAGACUCAUGUACCACAAAUAGCUUAAGAGAAGAAACCUUGAGGAAAGGAGGUGUAACUUACAGUCAUUCAGUCAAACAGAUCAUUGUAAUUAGGUGCUUUGUGUUAAUUACGUAGCUGGCCACCACAAAACUGAGGCAUCUCUGCUUCAUUGACUCAUGUACCACAAAUAGCUUAAGAGAAGAAACCUUGAGGAAAGGAGGUGUAACUUACAGUCAUUCAGUCAAACAGAUCAUUGUAAUUAGGUGCUUUGUGUUAAUUACGUAGCUGGCCACCACAAAACUGAGGCAUCUCAGCUUCUUUGUUUAGGUGGUCGUUCGUCUAUCGAGCCCCCAGAUCUCACUUCUUUCUCCUACCCCAGCAGAGCCCAGCUCAAUCUUCCAAUCCCU
rnacentral:lncRNA from 1 species